UACAGGCUUAACACGAUGCAAGUCGAGGGGCAGCAUAACGAAAGCUUGCUUUGUUGAUGGCGACCGGCGCACGGGUGAGUAACGCGUAUCCAACCUUCCCUAUAGUAGAGAAUAGCCCGGCGAAAGUCGGAUUAAUGCUCUAUGUUCUUCUUUGAUGGCAUCUGAGGAGAAGCAAAGGUUCACCGCUAUAGGAUGGGGAUGCGUCUGAUUAGGGUAGUCGGCGGGGUAACGGCCCACCGAGCCAACGAUCAGUAGGGGUUCUGAGAGGAAGGUCCCCCACAUUGGUACUGAGACACGGACCAAACUCCUACGGGAGGCAGCAGUGAGGAAUAUUGGUCAAUGGGCGAGAGCCUGAACCAGCCAAGUAGCGUGCAAGGGAUGACUGCCCUAUGGGUUGUAAACUGCUUUUAUGCGGGAAUAAAGUCCACUACGUGUAGUGGUUUGUAUGUACCGCAUGAAUAAGGACCGGCUAAUUCCGUGCCAGCCGCCGC
rnacentral:rRNA from 1 species